rnacentral:tRNA from 1 species
GACGAUAUAGUUUAAGUUGAGAUGGGUGCUCUGCAAGUAUUCGGUGAGUUGUUUCUAUCGUUG